GGGGAGAGUUGAAACUGUCAGCGGCAGCCAGGCUCGAAGAAAACGCAUCAGCAGAAUGGAUCUUGAUCUGUCGUCGGCUUUGGGUGGAAAAGAUGAGGAGGUGAAGAAGACGGAGGCACAGAAGGACGAGCUGAGCUGGCCUUGGAGCAAAAACAAGGAUAAAGACAAGAAGGUAGGAGAC